CUUCUCACAAGAAAUGGUAAAAUGCUCAUGAAGUGAAUUUCAUUUCUAAAGAUUGGUUGUGUGUUCGUGUGCGACAGAGGCUGAAAACACCGCAAGCAUCACGCGUGCUUCAGGAUAUCCCAUGCCUAGCGUCGCCCACGGGGUGAGGGCAGGGAGAUGGGUGGCUGACGCAGGCCGCAGCGACUGUGCUACCUAUCUUACUUUUGAAGCAAAGCGGAGCUGACAGAGGCCACCUCAGGAGACGGCUCACUCUCCAUCACAGCGCUGAGAGGAAGAGGCAGGGUCUGUCAGGGGUCCUCUAGCACUGCAGAGAGCUGCGUACCCCCAUCCUGCUGCUGUCUCCACUGAACCCAGUCACUUCACGCACCAUCCAUACAAUGAGGAAACAUACAGGCAGUGAAUGUGAAUGUCGCUUCCAUCUGGAGCUCGUGAGCCUUUUGUAGAUGCACAUCAAGCAGUCGAAAUGUGACAGGACUUAUAAUGGACUCAGAGCAGCAGAAUGCCUCCAAAAGCGGCCCACAACGGUGUCUCCGAAUUACCCUGCCUCGCCGAAGAUGACGAUUAGAUACGCCGAGGACACUGCAGGUGCUUUCUACCGGUGGCGUUUCCUUAUUAGUCAGAUGUCACUCAAGCCUGUUUACGAUGCCAGGUAGCUGCUUUUGAUUUGUUCUGACACAAAACGGCAUUAUAACAUCUCACGAGUCUCCACACACACAUGAAUACUCAGCUGCGUACACGCACACACGUAUAGACUCAUCUUCAGCACUGUAACUCCAUCCCUCAAUUCCACACAGAGCUGGACCAAUUAUUUUCUGCUGUACCAGCAUUUCCAAAGCAGUAAGAGAGAGGGGGAAAAAACAAACAAUACACCUCUUGGCGACACACACACAGAAACACACGGCACCCAUGUCCUCCCACCCUUCUCUAUUACUCAGCCUUCUCCUUGUCUAACUUUGCCAAAGUCUUUGGAAGUAGCCAAAUGCGGUCAUGCCUGCUUAGCUUCCUGGACUGAUUGUGCCAGAGAGGGAAAUAAGACACAGAUGUAUACAAACACAGGGUGGUGCCAGUUGCGAGACAGUUAACAGCUUCAUCUCCACCUUCUCUCCCCCUGCAGCCGGGCACAGGUGGGGUAUAAUUAGGUUCCUCUCUCCACAGUUCAAAGUCAAGCCUUUACCAGU